rnacentral:rRNA from 1 species
AGAGUUUGAUCAUGGCUCAGAUUGAACGCUGGCGGCGCCUAACACAUGCAAGUCGAACGGUAGCACAGAGAGCUUGCUCUCGGGUGACGAGUGGCGGACGGGUGAGUAAUGUCUGGGAAACUGCCUGAUGGAGGGGGAUAACUACUGGAAACGGUAGCUAAUACCGCAUAACGUCUUCGGACCAAAGUGGGGGACCUUCGGGCCUCACACCAUCGGAUGUGCCCAGAUGGGAUUAGCUAGUAGGUGGGGUAAUGGCUCACCUAGGCGACGAUCCCUAGCUGGUCUGAGAGGAUGACCAGCCACACUGGAACUGAGACACGGUCCAGACUCCUACGGGAGGCAGCAGUGGGGAAUAUUGCACAAUGGGCGCAAGCCUGAUGCAGCCAUGCCGCGUGUAUGAAGAAGGCCUUCGGGUUGUAAAGUACUUUCAGCGGGGAGGAAGGCGAUAAGGUUAAUAACCUUGUCGAUUGACGUUACCCGCAGAAGAAGCACCGGCUAACUCCGUGCCAGCAGCCGCGGUAAUAC